GGCGGGCGUGCCUAAACACAUGCAAGUCGUACGAGAAAGCCGGCUUCGGCUGGUGAGUAAAGUGGCGCACGGGUGAGUAACGCGUGGAUAAUCUGCCCUUUAAGUGUGGAAUAACGUACCGAAAGGUGCGCUAAUACCGCAUAAUGCCUGGCAACACAAGUUGUCCGGCCAAAGAAGGCCUCUGUUUACAAGCUUUCGCUUCAGGAUGAGUCCGCGUACCAUUAGCUUGUUGGUGGGGUAAUGGCCUACCAAGGCUGCGAUGGUUAGCUGGUCUGAGAGGAUGAUCAGCCACACUGGAACUGAGACACGGUCCAGACUCCUACGGGAGGCAGCAGUGAGGAAUAUUGCGCAAUGGGGGCAACCCUGACGCAGCAACGCCGCGUGAGUGAGGAAGGUUUUCGGACCGUAAAGCUCUGUCGAGUGGGAAGAAGUGUAUCAUGGCUAAUAUCCGUGAUAUUUGACGGUACCGCUAGAGGAAGCACCGGCUAACUCCGUG
rnacentral:rRNA from 1 species